AACAAACGCUGGCGGCAUGCCUUACACAUGCAAGUCGAACGGCAGCACGGGAGCAAUCCUGGUGGCGAGUGGCGAACGGGUGAGUAAAGCAUCGGAACGUGCCCAGUCGUGGGGGAUAACGUCGCGAAAGCUACGCUAAUACCGCAUACGAUCUGUGGAUGAAAGCGGGGGACCGUAAGGCCUCGCGCGAUUGGAGCGGCCGAUGUCAGAGUAGGUAGUUGGUGAGGUAAAGGCUCACCAAGCCGACGAUCUGUAGCUGGUCUGAGAGGACGACCAGCCACACUGGGACUGAGACACGGCCCAGACUCCUACGGGAGGCAGCAGUGGGGAAUUUUGGACAAUGGGCGCAAGCCUGAUCCAGCAAUGCCGCGUGCAGGAUGAAGGCCUUCGGGUUGUAAACUGCUUUUGUACGGAGCGAAACGGCUUCCACUACUACUGGGGGCUAAUGACGGUACCGUAAGAAUAAGCACCGGCUAACUACGUGCCAGCAGCCGCCGUAAUAC
rnacentral:rRNA from 1 species